rfam:Aedes aegypti strain Liverpool supercont1.576 genomic scaffold, whole genome shotgun sequence.
CAAUCGGCCCUUUUCAAGGCCAUCAAAUGUGUACUAAAAAGUUAUUU